rnacentral:lncRNA from 1 species
GUGAAUCAAGAACAAAAUCAACACAAAACUCAGAACAAUUUGGUCACCCUGAGUUCACCGGAAUGACUACGUCUCAGGGGAGAGAACGGGAUCCCUCAACUGCUUCCACUAUCGAGUUUCUGAUUACACGAUCACACAAAGUCGUAAAUCGAAUGAAUUACAAGAUCAAGCACUAAUGGAUUCAACAACUAACUAGAUCGUCAAAUCGGAGAAGUCCGACAAUCGCUUCAACCACCGUAAGCACCGAUCUCUCUUUGUUCGUCGAAUCGCUUUCUUGCUUUCUUUCUGUGUAACAACUCUUCACUCUGUCUCUCAGCUCAUGAGGAAGACGAUGGCUUUAUACUUCACUCGUGGGCCUCAACAAACUUCAUCCCAGCUGAUAUAUGACUUGUGGGCUUGGCG